UGCUGAGCUGAAAAUGGAUAAGCGGAAGAAACGCCCGGGUGGCGCUGAAAAACUGCGACUUAAAAAGCUGAAGUCUCUGGAGGUGGAGGCUGCUAAAUAUUCUAAAUUGACGGACCUAUUUGGUGCCGGGGUCACCACCCCAGCAGGUGCUGCUGCGCCGGGAGACGAGCGAGUGGAGGCAUACAUGGUUGUUCUGAUAUAUUUGAGGAGUCGUUCUCCCUCUGUUCUAUAUGUGGACUUGUUCUCUCAUUUGGGACCACUGUUAGAAUUUGGUUGACCACUUGACAUGUGAGAGCUUGAGGAGUUGUUCCCCCUCCGUCCAUUUUCAAGGAUUUGCUCCCUUACUGCCUCCACUUCACCACUUUUUGGCUACUGAGAAGUCUAUGAUUUGUUGAGUAUGUCAGGUGUCUUAUAUGAAUUCAUACUUGAUUUGUGAUGAUGAGAGACUUAAUAAUGUUUCCAUGUCUCUUUUAGGUUGACCACCCUAUAUAUGAGAGCCUAAGGAGUUGUUUUCCCUCUGUCCCCUUUUGAGGACCUGCUUUGUCUCCUCCAUCAUUCAC